rnacentral:rRNA from 1 species
AAUAGAUACCCAGGUAGUCCACGCCGUAAACGAUGAGUGCUAAGUGUUAGAGGGUUUCCGCCCUUUAGUGCUGCAGCUAACGCAUUAAGCACUCCGCCUGGGGAGUACGGCCGCAAGGCUGAAACUCAAAGGAAUUGACGGGGGCCCGCACAAGCGGUGGAGCAUGUGGUUUAAUUCGAAGCAACGCGAAGAACCUUACCAGGUCUUGACAUCCUCUGACCUCCCUGGAGACAGGGCCUUCCCCUUCGGGGGGACAGAGUGACAGGCGGUGCAUGGUUGUCGUCAGCUCGUGUCGUGAGAUGUUGGGUUAAGUCCCGCAACGAGCGCAACCCUUGACCUUAGUUGCCAGCAUUCAGUUGGGCACUCUAAGGUGACUGCCGGUGACAAACCGGAGGAAGGUGGGGAUGACGUCAAAUCAUCAUGCCCCUUAUGACCUGGGCUACACACGUGCUACAAUGGAUGGUACAAAGGGCUGCGAGACCGCGAGGUUAAGCCAAUCCCAGAAAACCCAUUCCCAGUUCGGAUUGCAGGCUGCC